rnacentral:rRNA from 1 species
UUGGAGGGCAAGUCUGGUGCCAGCAGCCGCGGUAAUUCCAGCUCCAAUAGCGAAUAUUAAAGUUGUUGCAGUUAAAAAGCUCGUAGUUGAAUUUCGGGAUCAAUGUUUCGGUCAUGCCGUUGGUAUGUACUGAUAUUAUUGAUUUCUCACCUUCUAAAGAACCGUAAUGCCAUUAAUUUGGUGUCACGGGGAAUUAGGACUGUUACCUUGAAAAAAUUAGAGUGUUUAAAGCAGGCUCACGCUUGAAUACAUUAGCAUGGAAUAAUGAAAUAGGACAUCCGAUUCUAUUUUGUUGGUUUCUAGGAUCGAUGUAAUGAUUAAUAGGGAUAGUUGGGGGCAUUAGUAUUCAAUUGUCAGAGGUGAAAUUCUUGGAUUUAUUGAAGACUAACUACUGCGAAAGCAUUUGCCAAGGAUGUUUUCAUUAAUCAAGAACGAAAGUUAGGGGAUCGAAGACGAUCAGAUACCGUCGUAGUCUUAACCAUAAACUAUGCCGACUAGGGAUCGGAUGAUGUUAAUUUUUUAAUGACUCAUUCGGCGCCUUACGGGAAACCAAAGUGUUUGGGUUC